rnacentral:rRNA from 1 species
GACGAACGCUGGCGGCGUGCUUAACACAUGCAAGUCGAACGGAAAGGCCCUGCUUUUGUGGGGUGCUCGUGUGGCGAACGGGUGAGUAACACGUGAGUAACCUGCCCUUGACUUUGGGAUAACUUCUGGAAACUGGGGCUAUUACCGGAUAGGAGCUUCUGCUCCAUGGUGGGCGUUGGAAAGUUUCGGCGGUUGGGGAUGGACUCGCGGCUUAUCAGCUUGUUGGUGGGGUAGUGGCUUACCAAGCCUUUGACGGGUAGCCGGCAUGAGAGGGUGACCGGCCACAUUACGACUGAGAUACGGCCCAGACUGCUACGGGAGGCAGCGGUGGGGAAUAUUGCGCAAUAGGCGGAAGCCUGAGGCAGCAACGCCGCGUGCGGGAUGACGGCCUUCGGGUUGUAAACCGCUUUCGCCUGAGACGAAGCGUGAGUGACGGUACUGGGUAAAGAAGCACCGGCUAACUACGUG